rnacentral:rRNA from 1 species
UACGGGGGGGGCAAGCGUUGUUCGGAAUUACUGGGCGUAAAGGGCUCGUAGGCGGCCAACUAAGUCGGACGUGAAAUCCCUCAGCUUAACUGGGGAACUGCGUCUGAUACUGGAUGGCUUGAGUUUGGGAGAGGGAUGCGGAAUUCCAGGUGUAGCGGUGAAAUGCGUAGAUAUCUGGAGGAACACCGGUGGCGAAGGCGGCAUCCUGGACCAACACUGACGCUGAGUGAGCGAAAGCCAGGGGAGCAAACGGG